GCGGGUGUAGCUCAACGGUAGAGCACCGGCCCUCCAAGCCGGGUACGCGGGUUCGACUCCCGUCACCCGCUCCA
rnacentral:tRNA from 1 species